rnacentral:rRNA from 1 species
CCUACGGGAGGCAGCAGUGGGGAAUAUUGGUCAAUGAGCGAGAGCCUGAACCAGCCAAGUCGCGUGAAGGAUGAAGGAUCUAUGGUUUGUAAACUUCGUUUAUAUGGGAAUAAAGUGAGGAACGUGUUCCUUUUUGUAUUUACCAUAUGAAUAAGCAUCGGCUAACUCCGUGCCAGCAGCCGCGGUAAUACGGAGGAUGCGAGCGUUAUCCGGAUUUAUUGGGUUUAAAGGGUGCGUAGGUGGUUAAUUAAGUCAGCGGUGAAAGUUUGUGGCUCAACCAUAAAAUUGCCGUUGAUACUGGUUGACUAGAGUUUAUUUGAGGUAGGCGGAAUGCGUGGUGAAGCGGUGAAAUGCAUAGAUAUAACGCAGAACACCGAUUGCGAAGGCAGCUUACUAAACUAUAACUGACACUGAAGCACGAAAGCGUGGGGAGCAAACAGGAUUAGAUACCCCUGUAGUC